UCCUCCACCCUCGAAGCCUGCACAAAGAGCUCCACCACCUUCGCAGCCUGCACAUGGAGCUCCACCACCCCCACCUCCACCUCCUAUGCGUGGUCCACCACUUCCUCCACUUGUGAGUCAGGCUCCUCCUCCACCUCCUAUGCGUGGUCCACCACCACCUCCACCUCCACCUCCACCUCCUAUGCGUGGUCAACCACUACCUCCACUUGUGAGUCAGGCUCCUCCUCCACCACCGCCUCCUCCAGGCCGUGGAGCCCCCCCUCCUCCCCCGCCUCCUCCAGGCCGUGGAGCCCCCCCUCCCCCGCCUCCUCCAGGCCGUGGACCACCUCCACCGCCUCCACCAGGAGCUCGUGUUCCUGGACCUCCUGCAUCACCAAGACCUCCAGGCAGUGCACCCCAUCCACCUCCAGC
rnacentral:lncRNA from 1 species